UUUGAGUUGUAACUACCAAGUAGCAACUCGUUACUUGGUAGCAAUUUGCUGCCAAACACCUGCUUCCAGGGUCAAUCUGAAUCCAGCAGUGCUGAGAAAACCCAAGAGCUACAUGGCUGACAUUUCCCAUCAGAGAGCCAACAGGUCAGGUAGAAAAGCCGGGUCCCUCCAUUCCUGAUGUUCCCAUCUUUAGGGAACAUUCUCAUCAUCCUGCAACUGGUAACAAUUUUCUAAAAUUAGACUUUUUCUGUUUCAUUCUCUCCCCUCUCAGGGCCCCUGGCUUUGCCUUCCCGCCCACCAGCCCUGGUUAAUGGAGCUUUUGUUCUGCCUGAUGCUGCCUUGCUAAUCAGAGUGUAUCAUAUGGGAGCUAUCAGGAGAGUGGGGCCUGCUUCAAGAAGGAACACAGGUUGCCUUUAGAGUUGGCUACAAAACUUAAAGCUUGGUGAUGGCUCAGGCACAAAAGAGCUGGCUGUACUUGAGGCUGAUUUCUAUUCUACCUGUGACUAUUACAUUCAAGGUAGUGAACCCUUGAAGCCUCUGGCAUCCCGAUCCCGUGAUUACUGCAGAGAAAAGAGAUGAGAAAACUGAGACGUAGGGAGGGCACAGCCAACAAGAAAGAAGAGUCGUUAGGAAUAUGCACUGCACUCUAAUUCCAGGACAACUGUAAUCAACUGGCCUUUUGAUUUGAGUGAUGUCUAAGGAGCAUGAGGAGUCAUGAAGCAGACACCUGGCCAUUCCACAGGGGACAGUCAAAAGAAAAGCCCUGAAACAUCACUCUUUUGUCCAACUAGAAAGGAGUGUGACUGUUAAUAAGGAGAGGGAGUAAGUUGUUAGUCAAAUGGUGUUGACCAAGAAUCUUUUGGAAUCCCUGUUUUGCAUAUAUUCCGUUGGAUCAAUUUUAUUUCAGAAAAUAAUCAAUCUGUCUUUGGGCCCUGGGUCAGAGGCCAGGGGUUUCAUAAUCCCUGGGGAAAUAAACUAUUUGACAGUUUACACAUGUGCCUUUUGUCCUCUGUCCUUAUCUAUCACAAUUACAAAUUUGGGAGCUUAAUGUAUGCAAAGAAGGGACGUCUGUGGAAUGAAACUCGGAAAAGAAGUUGAAUUCUGUUUAGGAAGUUAGGAUAGAAUAGAAACCAAGGAAACCAGGGUCGCGUUAGCCUUAUAUACAUAAUCUCCUCGGUAGAGACACUAUCUAAGUAGUUUUAUUUUCUAUUCCUCAAGAGCUUAAAGGAAAGAUUUCAUCCUACUUGUCUACAUUCAGCUGUGUUUAUAAGUGCCACUAAAUGGUUUUAUUCAGAUUGAUUCAGGCAGGGCCAUAAAAUCAAUGCAUUGCCACCUAGUCGAUCUGAUUGGGUUGUUAAAACAAGUGAACUAAUCAGACUACUUCUUAAAAAUCAGAUCAGAUCAUCUGUGCGUGAUUUGCCUGUCCCCUGGGCAACUGGCAUGGUAAUCAGAAAUCAAGCCCAAAUAAACUCAGCCAAAUGCUUCAUGUAGUUCUGGCCUGAGCUAGCCCCGUCUCUAUAGGUAAGGGACAAGAAACAUCUCCAUGUUUGACCAGUUGCAUGCACAAUCUGAAUGCCAUCCCAUGCACCCCAUUGGGUUGGAAAUGGCAGUGGACUCUGGGCAUGUUCGUGCCUUUCAACAGGUAGCAGAGUCUUUUGUUUUACAGGAUUAAGGAGCAGUCUGAGGCAGCAGCAAUCAAAACAAAGCAGGUAUAAAGCCAUUAGGGAGUGGAAAGGAGUGAGCAGUUGCUUCUUAUUUCACCCCUGAAAUGGGGAGCUGGAUUUGCAAGCAGACACCCCAUGCAGAGUGGGCCUCAUCACUACUUCCUGGCUUCUCCAGGGCCUCAGUCCAAAGAAAGUCUGCAUCUAGCUUCCUUAUUGGCUGACAGUCAUGAUCAAAGGGCUCAUGACCAAGAGGAGCCAAGUGAUCACACCAUUAGCAAAAUGAGUCUCCAACUUGGGCUUUAGGUUCUGAUUCAUAGUUUUUAAAAGACCCUGGCUUGUGGCCUAAGUGGAUACAGUCAGUGUUUCUCCAUCAAAAAAUUGUUCUUGCUGGUGUCCUGGAUUUUUGUAGAAUUGAGGAAAUUAACCAAGUGCUUUUAUCUAUUUAUAUCAUGGUUGUUGCCAUAUUAGUCCAUGAGAAUAAAAUUGCCACCACCAAAACAUGGACUGGAUAAUAGCAUUAUUAGGAGAAAAAGUCCCAAAUUAUAAGGUAGUAAUAUGAAUUAUAACUUUGACAUUAAAACAGAAAACCAUUCUGUAUUGUUUGUGAGAUGAUGUACUCGGGUGCAGUUAGAUUUCUGUGUGUUUAAUAGAGGAAGCCCUGGCCUGUCCAGGAUUCAAAGGCUGAAAACCAUUUGCUUUGUCUUCAGGCCACUGGCCUGGGAUUCACAGUUGCAGCAACUCACCAGACAGGAAAGGCUGACAAAAUAAAAAGAAAGCAGUAACUCUGGGUGACUAUGAAUACAUUUAAGAAGGUAAAUAAGGCCAGUCAUGGUGGCUUAGAUCUAUAAUCCAAGUGCUUUGGGAGGUCCAAGAGGGAGGGUUGCUUGAGGCUAGGAAUUCAAGACAGACCUGGACUACUUAGCAAUACCCCAUCUGUAUGAAAAAUAAAUUUUUAAAAAGAAGGUACAUAAGACAAUAUGGAAGAUAUUGGGGAAAGUCUACACCUGAUAGUCAGUGGCCCGAAUCCAUCAUGAUGUGAGUUAUUUAUGUUCUAGACUGGGAUGAAUGUACUGAAAAUUUACCCCUUUUAACAUCUUCUUGUACCAUUUUUGAUGGCUUGUGAAAACAUAAUUGAAAAUAAUUAAAAUGUAAACAUUCAUUGUGUUUAGGAAUAUUCUUAGCUCCCAUUUCCUCCUUCCUCAAUCCUUUCCCUCCGGCUAGCACACGCAAGCGCACGCACACACACACACACACACACAGUAGGAGAGAGAAACUUGAUCAUACUUGCACACAAUUUUAAGUUUAAAUCAAGCCAAUGGCAGUCAAAUGGAGGCCAGGUAUUUUCUCUCAGGUACUAAAAUGAUACAAAAUAAGCGAAUUUGCUUCAGGCAACAGGACACCAUGGGAGCCCCAAACCUGUGGCAUUUCCCUUGGAAACUCCUGUCUUAGAAGUUGCCUGAGCUCCUGUCCACUGCAUGAGCUGGUUCCUUUCUUUGCAUUCCUGUAAGGCACCUAGCUCCUAAGGUCCAGGCAAUGUUUUGAUCGGAAGUGCCCCUGUCAGCAAGUCUUACCAGCCAGGCAGAGGAUGGUACUUCCCUUCGUUCCUUGGCCACCACUAGGCAAGCUUACUGAAAUGCAUCCAUGUAGUUUUUUUUGCAGUAGCUGACCUUGUAGAUGGUAGCAGUUAAGGGGUCAGAAUGCGGUAGGUAAGAGGAGUGGCUGACAUGGAAACCCUGUGGUCAGCAGAUCACAUCUCAGGGCCUUUCCUCUUGGAGGAGAAAGCUCUGAUGUGGCCAGGAGUCCCAGUGGAGGAGUGGUUGGGCUGAACAAAUGAGCUUGUGUUUUGAUAGAAACAAGCCUGGUUUAAAGUCAUGACUCUGUUCCUUGCUGUGAGAUUUAGGGCAAAUCAGGGAAUCACUGAAUAUCAUCUUUCCUGUUGCAGUGAUGAAUGAAAGCCCCUGUCAUCAUGUAGUUUAAUAUUGGCGUUGCUCUUGGGAGCCAAGGAGUACUAGACGACUGAAUUCUGCUGUGAGGUCUACAGCUCAGGGAGAAGAUGAGACAGGUGGACUUGGAAAGAACAAUCUUCAGGGGUUAGUAGAAAAGCUGAAUUUUGACUCUUUGACAUUUUGAUGUUCUAGAACAUCUCCAUCCAGUAGAACUUUCUGUGAUGAUGGAAAUGUUCUAUAUUCGCCAUUCCUCAACAUAGUAGUCACUGGUCACUGGUCACCUGUAGUUAUUGAGCCCUUGAAUGUGGCCAGUACAAUUUGGGAACUAAAUUUUUAACUUUAUUUCAUAUUAGCUGAUUUAACUUUAAGAAGCCAUGAAUGGCUGUAUGGCUGGUAGCUGCUGUAUUGGAUAGCACCGUGCUACCAUAGUGGUUCUCAAAUCAGGCUGCACAUCUGAUUUUUUUUUUUUUUUUUUU